rnacentral:rRNA from 1 species
UACGGGGGGGGCAAGCGUUGUUCGGAAUUACUGGGCGUAAAGGGCUCGUAGGUGGCCAACUAAGUCAGACGUGAAAUCCCAUGGCUCAACCAUGGAACUGCGUCUGAUACUGGAUGGCUUGAGUUCGGGAGAGGGAAGUGGAAUUCCAGGUGUAGCGGUGAAAUGCGUAGAUAUCUGGAGGAACACCGGUGGCGAAGGCGGCAUCCUGGACCAACACUGACACUGAGGAGCGAAAGCCAGGGGAGCAAACGGG